rnacentral:sRNA from 2 species
GAUACUUCGGAGAAGGAUGAUGUAUUCAAUGAAGGUUUUCAAUCCCGAUCUGGGCCUGGCCACAAGACGCGGAGCAAGUCGUGGAAGCGAUUGACCAGAGUUAAGGACUGGAUCAAGCGUCUACAUAGCCGGAUACAAUGGCUGGCUAUAGUGGAUGUUGUGGCUUCAGAUGCAACUCUCAAGGUCGUGGAUGCCGGAGAGAUCCAUGUCGGAGGGCUCACAAUGGCUGUUGACACAAGAAAGAAAAUGAUGGCAAGGGGGAAGCUAUUUCGGCAUAAGAAGGACCCGCACGGGGACCAGCGACCUGCGGAAUGGAUUUUUAAUGUCCGGAAUAUUUUACUUGCUGCCAAUGGAUGCGAACCUGUGGAAAUCGUGGAUAAUAUUGGCCUGAAUAUUCACGGCCUUCUCCAUAAGGAUUUGGAAGGUCUAAGGGAUGUCUCCAUUGCCAUUAAAGCGGGGAGAUUACAUGUUCCGUACGAUGACCUGAUGAAACUGGCGACGAGUGUGAAGAAAUCUUUCCCUGUUGCAAAGAAUGCUGCUGGUGAGCCAUCAGAUAACGGGAUAUCCUUUGCGGAUAUCGUUGAGGAGCUCGAUAAACCAGGUAGCCGCGAAGGAUCGAUCGUGCAGACCGUUGCUGAUUCGAGGGAAUUCAUCAGUUCAUUAUUGCGUGGAAUACAAGAAAUACAGGUGGCAUUGAGCUUUUUCCGCCUAUCUCAGGUUGUCCAGAGCAUACAUCGCAGUAGGCCGCUCUAUCUCAACAUCGUCACUCACGAAAUUGGGAUUGACUUUCACCGGAUGGAUCCCAACCGCCCGGCCCAUCGCAUGUACUUUCAGCGAGAUGACAUAGCCCACCAAGCUCUGCUUGCCGCUAUUUCAUUGUCUGUUUCGCUCGACGACAAUAUGGGAGAAACAGAUAAGAUCCUCUAUAUCCCUAUGGCUACAACUACCAUUAAGACCACCUCGCUCUCCAAGGCUGUGUCGUACUCCGAGAACAGGGGCGUUGCUGAACGGAACACCAAUGUUCUCUUCGCCAAUCUUGUCGUGACAUCCCCUUCCAUUGAUCUUGAACCAAAACACUUGUCCCAAAUACUAUAUAUUCUGCAAAAGAGGAAACCGCGCUCCCGACGGAAGGUUCGAAACAAUCACAUCCUCAUUUCCCGUCUUUUACCCAAAGCGAGUAUCAAAUUAUCAGUUCAUGAACCUGUGCUUCGAUUUGUUCUUCCUCUUCCCGAGACCGGGCAGGAUCAUAGUUACAAUUUGCUCAUUUCCUCCAUAUCUUCCAUCUCCUUAGAUAUUGAAUCGUCACAUUCUGCGGAAGAAGGAGUCCACUACUCUUUGUCUUCGAUAUACCGAGUGGCCGCGCACCAACUUUAUUACCAAACCUUUUCUGGAUCGAAAUAUCGUCUAUUAAAUACUGAAUCGAUGGAGGUGAAGAUCCACCUCAACGCAACACCCGAAGUUUG